CUUAAGCUGGAAAUCAUGGACUGACAAUGAGAAUCAGGAUACUUCUCUAUUACCGAUACAGCAAUUCAGUUCUGUACCAUCUUAAUUCCUU